UACGUAGGGUGCAAGCGUUGUCCGGAAUUAUUGGGCGUAAAGAGCUCGUAGGCGGUUUGUCGUGUCGGCUGUGAAAACUCGGGGCUCAACCCCGAGCCUGCAGUCGAUACGGGCAGACUAGAGUGCUGUAGGGGAGACUGGAAUUCCUGGUGUAGCGGUGAAAUGCGCAGAUAUCAGGAGGAACACCGGUGGCGAAGGCGGGUCUCUGGGCAGUAACUGACGCUGAGGAGCGAAAGCGUGGGGAGCGAACAGG
rnacentral:rRNA from 1 species